UUUUCAGCAUCAGCUUUGAAACACUUUGACUUCAAACUCUCAUGUGUUGCAAAGAGGAAUUUGAUAUUGGAUGAUCAAAGGAAGAAUUGGUCCAGCAGCUCUGCAUUUAGUUGGGAACUGACUUCAUGUUGGGAAUUUUUCAUUGAUUCAAUUGAUCACAAGGGAGGGUUGAAGGUUGUUACAGAAAAGCUAUAGAGGACGAGAAAUUCAAUCUACUGUGGAAAUCAAAUGAAUCAACUAUGACUGCUCUCAGAUGACUUGAAGUAGUUGCUGCAUAAUCUUUGGAUACAUAAUGCUGUUUAGCCUGUUCCAGGUGGUCACUGCUCUAUUAUGUUUAGCAUUGUUUGAACCUACUUCAUAUCUCUUCAGCCUUUUUUAAUUGAGGAGCAUAGAGGAAAAGAUUGGUAUACGAAUCGUUUAUUGCAUAUUCAACAGUGUCGAGGAACCAGCGAUCUCAUUAAGUUGGUUCCAGGUUGUCUUCCUCUCUCCAUAUUGAAGGAACCAGAUAUAUUUGGUUUCAGACUUACGGAUUUGGCACCGUUUAAGGCUCUGAUGUCAAACAAAUUGCAUGCAGUUAUUGGUAAUGUUCUUUUCCAUCUGAUCUAUAAAUACAGUUCUUUAAAAAUAACUGCUACUGUAAUAUGGAGUCGAUACAGAAAACACAGUUCUCUCUCUAAAAAUAACAGACAAAUGAAAGCAGAUUUGUUGCCCAUUUUUGUCUUUUCAAAGCCAAAAGAGAAUUUCUUAUGAAACUAGGUUCCUUAAAAAGUUGGACUGACCAACUGACCUACAUUUAGUAAUAAUUAAAUAAAGGUAGAGGGGCCUGGACAUCACGUUAAUUGAUCACUUGAUAUUGCAGAAUAAAGACUGUGGACAGACUUAACCAAAAUGAUCUGUUAAAACACUUAACCAAAACAUCUCUGUUUAAAUGAAGUGGCCAGGCUGAAAUUACUUCAUGCAUUUGAUUGUGAGACCUUUAAGUAUGUUUUUCCUUUCUACCUUCAUCUUGGGUGAUUGCUUGGUUUUGUAGCAUCGUCCAUAUAUUAUCAUAUCAUUAUGAAGGAGAAGAUGUUCCUCCUUUUGAUGGAAUGCCUAUUGUACUUGGUGGAGACUUUUGUCAAAUAUUACCGGU